UAUCUUCAUUGUUGUAUUUAUUGUCCCUCAAUGCCGCAAUGAAUGACUUUCUUACUAAAGUGGGACCGAUUUAUUCGGAGUAAAGUUCUAUGUGCAUAUUGAUUAUGACAAUAUGUAUAUAAGUCUCGACUAAUUACGUGCCAGCAGUCGCGGCAAUACGUAUGAGACGAGUGUUAUUCAUCUUUAAUAGGUUUAAAGGGUACUUAGACGGUUUAAUUAGCCAAAGCGGUACAAUUAAUCUAGAGUUUUAUAAAAGAAGGUAGUACUCUUGAGUGUAGAGAUGAAAUUCUUUGAUACCUUGGGGACUGGUAAAGGCGAAGGCAACCUUUUACGUAAAAACUGACGUCAAUGGACGAAGGCUAAGAGCACUAACGGGAUUCGGUACCCCAGUAGUCUUUGCAGAAAAUUAUGAAUGUCAUAGGUUAGUAAUAUAUAUCUAGGGUAGUGGGUGGAUGUUUAAAUUUUCCACUUUAAGUACAGGUUGAUAACAGUAUAAUAAUAUGGUAGGCGCAUCUUAUUCGGUGGGCCGGUAUGUGUUAACUAUGUAUUAAUUGUACUUAGUACAUAUGUACUAAGUAUGGUUGCUACCUUGAUAGUUUAGUCUAUAAAUGAAAGUGUAAGCAUUUCACCUCAAGAGUAAUGCGGCGAAUCGAUUGGAACUGAAAUCACUAUGAGCAUGGGCGAAGAGGGAGAUCAAUGUUCGC
rnacentral:rRNA from 1 species